rnacentral:rRNA from 1 species
UACGGGGGGGGUAAGCGUUGUUCGGAAUUACUGGGCGUAAAGGGCUCGUAGGCGGCCAACUAAGUCGGACGCGAAAUCCCUCAGCUUAACUGGGGAACUGCGUCUGAUACUGGAUGGCUUGGAUUCGGGAGAGGAAUGCGGAAUUCCAGGUGUAGCGGUGGAAUGCGUAGAUAUCUGGAGGAACACCGGUGGCGAAGGCGGCAUUCUGGGCCGGAACUGACGCUGAGGAGCGAAAGCGUGGGGAGCGAACAGG